AAUGAGGUGUCUGAAUAAAGAAUUAUUUUGAUAGAAUAAAACAAGCAAUUUAAACCUGCCCUCAUUA
rnacentral:tRNA from 1 species